UCCGGUUUGUCACCGGCAGUCUCAUUAGAGUGCCCAACUGAAUGUAGCAACUAAUGACAAGGGUUGCGCUCGUUGCGGGACUUAACCCAACAUCUCACGACACGAGCUGACGACAGCCAUGCAGCACCUGUGUUACGGUUCCCUUUCGGGCACCCCUCCGUCUCUGGAGGAUUCCGUACAUGUCAAGGGUAGGUAAGGUUUUUCGCGUUGCAUCGAAUUAAUCCACAUCAUCCACCGCUUGUGCGGGUCCCCGUCAAUUCCUUUGAGUUUUAGCCUUGCGGCCGUACUCCCCAGGCUGGGCGCUUAAUGCGUUAGCUGCGGCACAGAGACCGUGGAAUGGCCCCCACACCUAGCGCCCACCGUUUACGGCGUGGACUAC
rnacentral:misc_RNA from 1 species